rnacentral:rRNA from 1 species
GAUGAACGCUGGCGGCGUGCUUAACACAUGCAAGUCGAACGAUGAAGCCCAGCUUGCUGGGUGGAUUAGUGGCGAACGGGUGAGUAACACGUGAGUAACCUGCCCUUAACUCUGGGAUAAGCCUGGGAAACUGGGUCUAAUACCGGAUAGGAGCGUCCACCGCAUGGUGGGUGUUGGAAAGAUUUAUCGGUUUUGGAUGGACUCGCGGCCUAUCAGCUUGUUGGUGAGGUAAUGGCUCACCAAGGCGACGACGGGUAGCCGGCCUGAGAGGGUGACCGGCCACACUGGGACUGAGACACGGCCCAGACUCCUACGGGAGGCAGCAGUGGGGAAUAUUGCACAAUGGGCGAAAGCCUGAUGCAGCGACGCCGCGUGAGGGAUGACGGCCUUCGGGUUGUAAACCUCUUUCAGAAGGGAAGAAGCGAAAGUGACGGUACCUGCAGAAGAAGCACCGGCUAACUACGUG